rnacentral:lncRNA from 1 species
CUUGACUUGGAGGGGGACAUUGAAUGUCAGCAGUGUUAUUUGGACUCCUGUAUUUCACAGGUCUACAUCACAGAGUAGUGAAUGACAAUUGCCUGCUCGACUUUAUCAUAUCACUAGAAAAUCUAGCAUUGAUGAAUCAGGGAGUCUACACAUCAUGUUUAUGGAGAAAGAAGACACCUGAAAAUACAUGAG